ACGCAGGCGCAGCAGUUUACAGCGUUAUGGCACAGUGGUAGCGGACAUGAGCGAGGAGUUCACCCAACAAGGCAAUUAUUUUUCUUUUCCUGCCAACCGAGUUUUGUGAGGUUAUAAACAGAGAAAGUUCCGUCAAAUAUAUAUAACUCACUUUUUAAACUAUUGGGAUAGGCUACAAUUCACAUUGAGCUUUUAUGAGGGCGUUCUAUUGCUCUACCUUUCAGAAAAGCAUACUUCGAAAAGUCGAACAUGAUCCUUAGAAAAAUCACUUCUGAAAAAAUUUCUAACAUCUGUCUCUGUUCGCCGAUUAACUCUUCUAUAAUGUUAAAUCUUUUUCCUACGCUCAUUAUUUUGAGAUCUGAUUGCAUAUCCAGCUGACAUAACUACUUUCAGCAGAUAUGGCUGCGGAAGCAACUCCAAGCCGAAUUCGUCCAAUUUUGUCAUCGUUUUAAUUAAUUUUUAACUCUGUUUGAAGGCGCGGCGGGACCUUUGCAAACAAAUUUUCAAGAAGUUUACCCCCCAUGCUUCAAAUGAAAACUCUAAGAUUACCAAAGGCGAUGAAUCAUAUAACUCUAUACAGAAUCUGAUCAAAUUUGACUCGGACUACUCUAUUUAAACUUCGCACGCAACCCGUAGGACUCUUUUCUAAGACGGGUAGCAGAGGAUCUCAGCUUCUUUUAAAGAUCGGAUCGACUCAACACGUUUGUUGAAAUGCUUGAACGAGUCAUCGAAAAUUGGACUCAACGGAUGGACCAUCUGAGACAUAAUCUUCAAAAAAUAAAU